rnacentral:misc_RNA from 1 species
GAUGAAGAACGCAGCGAAAUGCGAUAAGUAGUGUGAAUUGCAGAAUUCUGUGAAUCAUCGAAUCUUUGAACGCACAUUGCGCCCCAUGGUAUUCCGUGGGGCAUGCCUGUUCGAGCGUCAUUUACCCCCUCAAGCUCCGCUUGGUGUUGGGCGUCUGUCCCGCUUCGCGCGCGGACUCGCCCCAAAGGUAUUGGCAGCGGUCGUGCCAGCUUCUCGCGCAGCACAUUGCGCUUCUCGAGGCACCGGUGGGCCCGCGUCCAUCAAGCUCACCCCCCCAGUUUGACCUCGGAUCAGGUAGGGAUACCCGCUGAACUUAAGCAUAUCAAUAAGCGGAGGA